CGGUCACGUUCGUUGCUUAAAUAGCAAGACCAACAACCAAUAAUUAUUUGUAAAAAAUAAAAACUGAUUAUUUAAUUAGCCCCACUAUUUUUAAGUACGCAAUUAAGCAGACAAAUCACUCCACGAACUAAGAACGGCCAUGCACCACCUAUCACACAAUCAUGAAAGAUCUUCAUGUUUACUUAUUUAAAAUAAAAUAAAAUUUUAUUUUAAAUAAUUUAUCUGUCAAUCCUCAGUGUGUCCGGACCCGGUAAGGUUUCCCGCGUUGGGUCAAAUUAAGCCACAUGCUCCAC
rnacentral:rRNA from 1 species